GGGGGAAGAAUACCUGCGACGGCCUCUGCCUCUAAAGGCAAAAGGCCUCGACCGACGGAAGUACUGUCGAUUCCACCGGGGCCACGGCCACAAUACCGAGCAAUGCAUCCAGCUUAAGGAUGAGAUCGAAGCUCUCAUCCACCGAGGGUAUCUCGAUAAAUUUCGGAGGAACCCGCCGACUCAGCCAGUGGCCGACCGACAACCCCAGCCGACUGAGGAAGCGACGACUAAUCAGCCGACGGUCGGGGUCAUCAAUAUGAUUUCCAAACGACUUGGCCCGGGGAC
rnacentral:lncRNA from 1 species